UUCAAAACGUAUUUACACGUUUUGAAACUAACAUAUAAAAUACACAAACCAUAUUUUUCCCUUCAAUUAUAAAAAAUUCACCUUAAAAAUUCGCUUUCAAAUUUAGCGCCAGUUUUAGUUCCCGACCCAGCCAGUAGAUGCUGACAUUGUGACCAACAUAAAAGCAUUAGAGAUCGUGUUCUAUAGAGAGGGUAUUCUAUGUCAUAACCACAAUUUUUGGAUGAUAUAUUAGUUCUGUGAUAUUGAUUCACAUUAGGUUGUAUGUAUCUGUGGACUGGUUUUUUUGUAUUUGUUAUUAAUAAUGACAGAAAGACAUGUGUUAACAAUAGGGGUAAUUGCCAUUUUUUUUUGUUGGAGAAAAUUCUUUACAGUCAAAUAAUGUAGUGAAAGUCAAUUGGUAUACUGAAUUAAAUGUGCUUGAAGAGUUUAUUCGAGCUAUAAUGCGAGAAGAUUAUGAUAUUCCUUAAGAGAGGCAACAUGUGAAACCCCAAGAGGUGCAUUUGUAUGUCACCAUAUGGCUAAUUGGCUACACCUGCCCUACACGGACGUUAUAAUGUAUUUUGGACCAAUAAUUUGCGUGCUUGGGACGUACAUCUGAAGAAAAGUGAAUCAGCUGAAGUCAGAGCUGUUGUCUCUGAAAAUUCUUUUAAUCCCCAAAUCAGCCUAAAAACAGCUAAUGUUGAGGUACAACUUCAUGAAAGCUUACGACAAACUGAUGGGAGCGAAGCACUGCGUUGGCUAUUGGGCCUUGAACCAGAAAGAUCUGAAGAAAACCUACUUCACAGUGUCGAAGAACUAUUAGUGUCCGAGGACUAUUAAAUGGCCCAUCAACAGUUUGCGGGUCAGUUUUUCACCAAAAGUGAAUCAGAUUAUUUUGCAUUAGGAAGUGCAAUUUUUUAUUGUUGAAUAUUUUUUUUGUUUUGAAAUAAAUUGUUCUUUAAAU